rnacentral:rRNA from 1 species
AGUUUGAUCCGGCUCAGAUUGAACGCUGGCGGGAUGCUUUACACAUGCAAGUCGAACGGCAGCACGGACUUCGGUCUGGUGCGAGUGGCGAACGGGUGACAAUGUAUCGGAACGCCCAGUAGCGGGGGAUAACUACGAAAGGUAGCUAAUACCGCAUAUUGCCUUCGGGGAAAGUGGGGAUCUUCGGGCCUCGCACUAUUAGGAGCGGCCGAUAUCGGAUUAGCUAGUUGGUGGGGCAAGCAACGGCUCACCAAGGCGACGAUCCGUAGCUGGUUUGAGAGGACGACCACCACAUCACUGGGACUGGAGAUGAUUGCCCAGACUCCUACGGAGGCAGCAGGGGAAUUAGACAUGAAAUUCCCUGAUCCGGCCAUCCGCAAGAGAUGAAGGCCUCGGGUUGUAAAGCACUUUUGGCAGGAAAGAAACGGCACGAUAAUACCCCGUGCAACUGACGGUACCUGCAAGAAUAAGCACCGGCCACCAUGCCAGCAGCCGCGGUAAUAAGUAGGUGCCGUUAAUCGGAAUUACCGGGCGUAAAGCAGCAGGCGGUUCGGUGAAAGAUGGAAAUCCUGAGAGCUUAAUUUUGAACUGCAUUUUAACUUUGUCGAGCUAGAGUGUCAGAGGGAGGUAGCGUGUAGCAAGUGAGAAUGGCGUGAUAUGCGGAGGAACACCGAUGGCGAAGGCAGCCUUCCUGGGAUAACACUGACGCUCAUGCACGAAAGCGUGGGAUAAACAGGAUUAGAUAAUUGGUAGUCCACGCCCUAAACGAUGUCAACUAGCUGUUGGGGCCUUCGGCCUUGUAGCAGCCGUCAUGCGGAAGUUUAACCGCCUGGGGAGUACGGUCGCAAGAUUAAACCUAAAGAAUUGACGGGGACCUCCGCAAGCGGUGGAUGAUGUGGAUUAAUUCGAUGCAACGCGAAAAACCUUACCUACCCUUGGAGAUAUGUCUCGGAAUCCGAAGAGAUUUGGGAGUGCUCGCAAGAGAACCGGAACACAGGUGCUGCAUGGCUGUCGUCAGUCGUGUCGAGAUGUUGGGUUAAGUCCUGCAACGAGCGCAACCUUGUCAUUAGUUGGCUGGCUACGAAAGGGCACUCCAAUGAGACUGCCGGUGACAAACCGGAGGAAGGUGGGGAUGACGUCAAGUCCUCAUGGCCCUGGCGGGUAGGGCUUCACACGUCAUACAAUGGUCGACAGAGGGUCGCCAACCCGCGAGGGGAGCCAACCCCAGAAACCCGAUCGUAGUCCGGAUCGCAGUCUGCGCAACUCGACUGCGUGAAGUCGGAAUCGCUAGUAAUCGCGGAUCAGCAUGUCGCGGUGAAUAGCGCGUUCCCGGUCUUGUACACACCGCCCGUCACACCAUGGAGUGGGUUUUACCAGGAAGUAGUUAGCUCAAUCGUAAGGAGGGUAGCGAUUACCACGGUAGGAUCUGCGACUGGGUGAAGUCGCAACGGGUGUACUC